GUACCUUUGUUAGGCCUGAGGGUGCCCCCCUCUUCACCCUGUGUUCAUGGCUCUGCUCGCUCUCAGAUGGUGGGGUUUGUAGUUUUGCCUGAGGUGCUCGCUGCCGCUCCUCUUGCUUGAUCCAGAAUCGGGCAAAAAUUACAUCUAGAUGCUGCUGGACGUCGCUGUAAGCCUCCACCUCAGAUAGAUGACUUUUCUCGCAUGGUGGGCUUGCCGCCGCCUAUUUAGACAUGCCAUGUGCUUGGCUGCCCCAUUGCUGUGGUUCAUCAGGUUGCAGGUUCGGUCUGUGUCGGCUGCUGCUCAUUAAGAGGUUUUUGCAAGGCAGGUGCUCUGAGCAAUUGCUGCCUCUUGCCUCUUGAGUUUAGCUCCACACAGCCAGG